UGUAUGUUCUGAGUAAUCGCGGUCAACUUAUGUUGGCUGAGGAAAGUCCACUCUCGCACAAGCUGCGAUGCUUGUAGUGUUCGUGCUCGGUGAAAAAAUAAGCCGGGGGACUACAAUUUGUAGUAAUGGCGAAGAAACGAGCUAAGGUUUUGCUAUGCUUUAGUACUUCUGAAAGUGCCACAGUGACGAUACAGGAUCGGAAACGAUACUGGUGGAACGCGGUAAACCCCGCGAGCGGGAAACCCAAACUUUGGUAGGGGAGCUUCACACACGGAAAUUGAACCAAGUGUGGGGGAGAAAUUUAUUUCUCAGAUAGAUGAUUACUACUUUAUAUUUAAAGGCCUGACUUAAAUAUAAAGCACAAAACAUGGCUUACAGGAAUGUACACCAU
rnacentral:RNase_P_RNA from 1 species